rnacentral:misc_RNA from 1 species
AAGUCGUAACAAGGUUUCCGUAGGUGAACCUGCGGAAGGAUCAUUGCAAAAGAUCGCUCGCCAGAAUAACCUUCUGGCUGAGCAAAAGAUCCAACCACUCUUGUCAACCGUUUACCGUCUUUGGUGUCGUAGUGCCCGUCUUGGCCCUUCGGGUGCCCAGGAUUGCGGCGCGUCUUUCUCGUCGAACGACGUGGGAGGCGGCACCGCUGGUCUGAUGAUCCACGCUUGCCGUGUUUCUGACGGCCUUCAAAACAAAAACUCUUAUACUUUCUUCUGUGUGACUGACUUGAAACAAUGCAAGAUCUCUUUUGAGAUUCUUACAAUUCAAAAACAACUUUUGGCAACGGAUCUCUUGGCUCUA